AAAAUCCGUCCACUUUNUAAGUCGUGAGGGUUCAAGUCCCU
rnacentral:tRNA from 1 species